AUUCUUUAUUCAUUAAUGAUAUUAAAUUGCAAAUUUAAAGGUGUAAAAUACAGGAAUUUC
rnacentral:tRNA from 1 species